UAGCGGAGGAAAAGAAACCAACAGGGAUUGCCUUAGUAACUGCGAGUGAAGCGGCAAGAGCUCAGAUUUGAAAUCUAUCGCCUCCGGCGGUCGAGUUGUAAUCUGGAGAGGCAUCUUCUGGUGGGCGGCCGGUCCAAGUUCUUUGGAACAGGACAUCAGAGAGGGUGAGAAUCCCGUAUCUGGCCGUGCCCGUCCUGCCUUGUGAAGUGUCUUCAACGAGUCGAGUUGUUUGGGAAUGCAGCUCAAAAUGGGUGGUAAAUUUCAUCUAAAGCUAAAUAUUGGCGGGAGACCGAUAGCGCACAAGUAGAGUGAUCGAAAGAUGAAAAGCACUUUGAAAAGAGAGUCAAAAAGUACGUGAAAUUGUUGAAAGGGAAGCGCUGGAGACCAGACUCGGGUUUGGGUGAUCAGCCGGGGUUCACCCCGGUGCACACACCCCUUCCCGGGCCAGCAUCGGUUGCGGCGGCGGGAUAAAGGUCGGAGGAACGUGGCUCCCCUCGGGGAGUGUUAUAGCCUCCGGCGCCAUGCCGCCUGCCGCGAUCGAGGACCGCGCUUCGGCUAGGAUGCUGGCGUAAUGGUCUUCAGCGACCCGUCUUGAAACACGGACCAAGGAGUCUAACAUCUAUGCGAGUGUUCGGGUGUCAAACCCCUGCGCGUAAUGAAAGUGAACGGAGGUGGGAACCUGUUAAAGGGUGCACCAUCGACCGAUCCUGAUGUCUUCGGAUGGAUUUGAGUAGGAGCAUAGCUGUUGGGACCCGAAAGAUGGUGAACUAUGCCUGAAUAGGGUGAAGCCAGAGGAAACUCUGGUGGAGGCUCGCAGCGGUUCUGACGUGCAAAUCGAUCGUCAAAUUUGGGUAUAGGGGCGAAAGACUAAUCGAACCAUCUAGUAGCUGGUUCCUGCAGAAUUUUU
rnacentral:rRNA from 1 species